GAAUGAGGGAGAUGGCAAAUCAAGACGAGGAGCAAGACGUGAACAAGGUGAAAGCCGGAGUCAACGUUUCGACAGGUGGAGUUGUCUUU
rnacentral:lncRNA from 1 species